UUGGGCUGGGAAAGCAGAUUUUUAUUUUAACGAUAUUUACCUGCCCCUCAUCCUCUCCCACGUUUGCUUUUCCAGGGCAGCCUCUUCUUCAUGGCUUCAGAAGCCGGGCAAAUUAAAGUAACGCGCUGGCUCCCCCGCGAGUUGCGGGGGCUGAGCUGCCGGCCUGACCCUGGCCGGACCCCCGCCGGCCCCCUUCGGUGUUCUGGGUUUCUCUUUUCUUGCCCUCGGAUUACAUGCCGUUAUUAGACAAUAUGUUUACAAUUUUAUUUAAAGAAAUGAGACCCCAGCUUCCUGAAAACCGAGACCAAGCCCGUUUGGUACCACCACAACGCGGAGCUCUCCAGCGCCAGGAGGAGGCCUGAGGAGGCCCUGAGGUUCGCAGCCCCAGGCCCUGAGCCCACCUGGGACACCUCUCCCUGAGGAUCCAGGGCGAGUGACCAAACAGCAAGUACAAUUCUGAGAGCUGUGGAACUUCGUCCUUUCAUUUAAAGAUUCUCCUGUCUUUUCUUGAUGGAAUCGUGUGGCCCCAUCUCUCCUGUGCCAAGGGGACAGAGAGUCUUCAAACAUGCUUGUUAAGGGCCACUCACUCUCUUUCCAAGGAAGGCUUCUGUGGUCUGUCUACGCCACCCCCCUCUGCUCCCACCACCACACACAAGGCCCAGGGAUACUGGAGGAUGAUCCUACAGUCUAGUCAGUCACCUCGUGAGCGCAAUCCAGUUACAGCACACCACUGCGUACUGAAAGGGCAGCAAGACAACCAGCACCAUCAAGAACCUACAAUGAGAUUUAAAUCUUGCAAUCACCGCUGGGAAGUGAGCUGUAUCUUCUUGAGAAAUCAGACCACAGAGUCUGGCCUGCAGCUGGCAGGCUGGGUCAUCUUUAAUCGCUUAACCCUUCAUAUCAAAGGAUGGGUUGUAGCAGCAGAUUCUUCGUCAUGAAUUUGCCAUGGCAGAUUUUCUCAAAGAAAAGCUGGGAGUUAAAAUGAAGCAGAGUACGUACAGCAAAAGCCUUGCCUUGAACUGGAAGAUGCCAGCCCCACAGGAGAGAUGCAUAACUGAAGGGUUGGAGGCUGCGGACUGGACCCAUGCCACAGAGAAUUACUCCUUGGGAAGGUCUGUUAACCAUAUAAAACAUUAGAAAGAAACUUAGGGACUUAAUAACCAGUUUGGGGCUAGAGGCAGUUUUUAAAAAAAUGUUUUUUGAAACUGGAUAAAAUUAUUAAAAUUAUAAUUUCAAACA